rnacentral:lncRNA from 1 species
GGGGUGUAGGUAAAAAGGAGGUGUGACAAUAAGCAUGAGAUGGUGGAUCAUUGUUUGGCCUCGUCACAGGAGGUGGUGGCGGGAUUGUAUAUACCGGUGCGCUAGAUACGAUGAGAGGGGUGUUCCUGACCGGUGCCACUGGAGGUCGCAUAUUAGAGGUACUGGGGGUAGCAUGGACGCUAUAGUUCGGCAUAUACCCUGGUGGUAGAAUGGGAUCGCUCGUUGCAUGGAUUUGUGGUUGAGUAGACUAGGGUAUGGUAGUUCCCUCUAAGGGACCCUGGGGUAGAGGUAGACCGGAAACCGAAGCUUGAUAUACAUCUGACAGUUGUUGUCUCAAUUUUCUUAUCUCCUCAAACUCUUGUUCAACUGACUGACCCUGCGGAUUUUCACUUACCAACUCAAUUUCAUCAUUGUUAUCCAUUACUACUAGUCCCUUAGAUCUUGUGAAAUAAUGAUGUGCUGCCAGAUUUACCACAAACCAACCACCUUAAACUUACUGGAUUAAGAGACAACAAACAUGAUAUGGUUAGGCAUUUUAUAGAUAUGAAUAACACGUAAUAUGUCAUACUCCUAACAUCGCCACCAUUUCUAAAAUACUUUUGGAAGGCUUCAAUGUUUCAUUCCGGUAUAUCAGCUUGUUGCUUAUUACACUGUUAUUUCCUUCUUCUUUUUUCCAUUUUUUUACUCACUCGCCUUAUUUGAUCCCUUACUUUAGAGCCAUUUUAAAAUGAAUACUUGAUCGAACCUUUUGUGGGUUGCCUACAUAUCAUGUCGCUGUAUGAAUUAGAUCAUUACGUAGUUCAGAGAUGCAAGACACUUGAUUGAUUUUUUUUUAUUAAACAAAAACAAACACACACAACAUUUUGAAAAAUAAAAUCUUUUUGGGCUUUCAAUAUGUAUAUUUUUUGUUUUGGUACAAGACGUUGAAACAAAAUGCGCAAAGAAAACUACAACAGACUCGGCUAGAUUGAAACAAGACUCCAUAAAACCAAAGUCACAAACAGACCCCUCAUAGACUCAAAAAUAAAAAUAAACCUACUAAAACAUCUUAAAAAGUGAAUGCAACAAGGACUCCAAAUUUGCAGACUAUCCACUUGUCAUCAUCUUGGUUGGGGCGCUCCCUGCCCCAAUUGGUUGGACAUAUUGUACAGGGCCUCCAGAUCUGUAGCAAUGUGAUGAGCGAGGUUGAUUGGGGAUUCGAUAAACAUUUUCCUAUUCAUUUUCUCACAAUAUGUGCACCCCAGAGCAGUGUACUCGACUAUCUCAAGUAUCCUUUUCUUAACAUUCUCCUGGAACGCAAACAUGCCAUCGAUUUAACGCCCACGUGCAUCAGCCAAAUUCAGUGCAUCUGCCUCGCGGUCCAAUGCUGAGUUCCUUUGUUUCAUGUCUUCGGUCAAAUCAGUUUGUAGCCAACCUAUUACCUCAUGAUACUGGCAUUUCUCCAUCUCGAAUUCAGCUAGUUGGUGAUUCUUAAUCGACUCGAAUUUCUCCCUCUGGAGAUCAAACUCUAUUUGUUGUUGGUGCAUUGCUUCCUCGACGAUGCUCAGGUCUUCUUGCAACUUGUGCAUUUUAGAGAGUCGACCCUUCUCAGCUUUUUUUAGGGGCGACUUAACCCUGUAUGCAAGUUAUUCCUCUAAACAUGCCAGAUUUAUACGAGCGGUCAUUAAAUCCUUAUCCAUAACCUGCAGGGUGGCUCGGUAGUCUUUAUUAACCUCUGACCGGAUCUGAAUGAUGUUGGCAUGAUAUUGGGCUUGUUGUUGAAAGAUGGUUUCUCUGGCUUGGUCCAGUUCUUACUUUAGCAUUUGUACAAAAAGGUGGUCACUUCUUCUUCUGUUGGACCUUUCUGGCCUAUCUGCCAAUGAUGAGGGGUCGUGAAACCAAGCAAGGUACCCCGGGGCCACCUCCCCUAUUUCACGGUCUUCCACCAUAUUACGAAACUCAUAAAUUCCACCCCCGAACCAACUAUUCAUGACUUCCUUAUCAUCAACCGGCUCUUCUGGAGAAAUGUCAUAUGCGAACUUCCUCAUGUCCCUUAUUGGUGGUAUUUCUUGGCGUCAGCGUAAUUGGCGCAUCACUCGAAGCGGAGCGUAAGGUUGGACGUCGUUGAGCCCCAUUAAUAUCAGGAAAGGUUGAUGAGAGGAUUCACAAAUAACAUCCUUCGCAGAAGACCAAUGGUAAUUCCAAGUGACUCGAUCUGCAGUCAAGGUGAUAAAUAAUGCUUUCCAAGCUCCAAUUCCUUCAGGAAACUCACGUGUUUCAAUCCUCUCUUCAUGAUUUUGAACAAAAUUGGACCAAUUCGGGUCGAAUUUAUCGAUGAUAGGAUGAUGGUAGAAGUGUUCCAAAAUCCACAUCUAUAGUAAUAUGUUGCAGCCCUCAAAAAAAAUUUGUCCUUCUCGACACUUGGUCAAAGCCCAGAAUAAACUUGAAAGAAUCAUAGGGACAAGAGUGGGUUUUUUCAUGGUAGUCAAAGCUUGUACUACCCCAGCUAAUCGGAUGUCGAUACGCCCGUCUACAUCUGGAAAAACCAUACGGCCCAAAAAUGCAACCAUAUAGGCAAAACGCCUAUGCAUAUUCCAUGUUUCUAUGUCCCCGUCAUUUUUGAGUUGACCUAAGUUGUUUUCAAAAGCAUCUCUAUCGCUAUAUCUGUCAAACAAGAAUUUCAAAGUGGCCCAUCGAUCAGAUAACCCUUAUACUUUCCAUGAUUGAUCUUCAAAAGUUCCAAAUAUUUGCAUGCAUGUACCCUUUUUGGUACGAUAGGUCUAUCACGGGGAAGAUAUUAGCCUUUUCCGAUGAAGCUCGCGACCUCUUCUAGUGUGGGCGUCAUUUCACAAUCAUUAAAGCGAUAUACGUUAUUAUCCAUGUCCCAACAAGGAAUUAGAGCUUCUAUAACAUCAUCUUGGUUUGAUCUCUAUUAUGUGAACCAAAUGUCCCAAGUAUCGUUUUAUUUGUCUUUGUUCAUAACCAUCUAUGUCAUUCCACCAAAUUGAUAGACGUGCAGGUACCUCAUCGAUGAUAAAAAAAUUGCGGUGUCUCCUCGUUCAUCGGUCUCUUUUCAAAUUGUUGACUCAUCGUACUCAUGUCGUACCUGAAAAGGAGAGAACGUGGUUACGACCUAUCUAGACCGCAAAGCUCGAAUGUAUUGAUCCUUUGACUCCCGCAAAUCCCACUUGGGGAUAACCCUCUAUCAAAUUGUGGUCAAUUAAAAUCCAAAUGAUCAAGUAAAUGACUGACCCAGCUAAUUCAGCGGAGAAGAAAUGAGCCCUAGACAUGUUACCUAUGUGCCCAACCUCAAAGGCAAAAUAUAUGUACAUGCAGUUUGUGCAAAAUAUAUUUGAAAGCAAACAUCUACUCUAGGAAUAUUUUGAUAAAACAACACAACAUGAGGGACCCUUAAUAAAAAAAUGGCUAACUUAACGUAAACAAAACUGCAACACAUCCUAGGAAGGUUUCAAGGCUGUCACAGUGAAAGGUAAAACAAAACAACAAAAGGAAAAAGGAUAAAAAUGAAAAAAUUAACUAUUUUACAAAAACAACCACUCUGCACUCCCGACGGAGGCAAAAAGCACAAGAUAUAGGGACAAAAUAUUGAAAAUUACUGCAAAGGAAGAAAAACUGCUAUUUGUUCAAGAAACAAGCCUUUCGGUGCUUCCGAGAAAGAUAUUAGGGAUGUGCUGAAAAAACUAAUAACUUGAUGUAAUGGAAAUGAUAAAAAGGCAAAAUUUUUGAUUUAUUAUUAAAGAUUUUGAAAACACACCCUUUUUUUGAAAUUUUUUUUAUUCAUUUUGUUUUUGUAAUUUUUCAAAGAAAGAAAAAUAUAUUUUUUGAAUUGUGGAAGAAAGGCUUCUAACAAAAAGGAAGAAAAUAUUUUUUGAAUUUCGUUUUUUUUUUUUUGAAAAUUGGAGUCGGAACCGAUGAGGUUUGCCUACGUAUCUCACAUCCGGUGAGAAUCAGACCCGCGUAGUUUGGUCAAAAUGAGUAUUUUUCUCUUUUGAUUAUUUAUAAAAAAAAUUAAUGUUCAACAUCAUGCUAGACUACUACAAAAUCUUAGUAAAGAAAGGAUUAUUUGUGCUAAACUACGAGAAUGAUGAUUUUGUUUUUUAAAUUAUGCUAAAUUAAUUUUCUAAAGCGGUCAACAAUUCAAACAAGCCUUCCAAAUGAUGUAGCAAGUAGCACAUAAGUGGACAUGCUAGUCUCAAAGAGGAUAUCUGUCUUAUACGGACCCGGCCCCUGUGCCGAGCUUCGUUAAGUCGAAUGAUGCAAAACAAAAACGAUCCUACUAGGGAUAAUCAGGAAUGUGGCUUGUUCUUCUAGGUUUUUUAAAUCCUACAGGAGAAAGUAUCUAGACUGGCUUACUCGAGCGGACAACUCGAGCCGAGGAGCGCCAGUGUGUCGGCCGUAGAACGGUUCCGGCUUUACUGGUGGUUCUCCCCGCCUAAACAUGUGUGACUAAAUAUUUCACUAGGAGCAGGUCUGCACACUGGCUUUAUCUCAGACACAAAAUUUUGUGGAGCUGGUCAGCACAAACAACACUAUUACUUAUCAGAAGACUGAGAUGGGGUGCACGAGAAGAUAAUUUAUAUAUACAGUCAAGACAAUAUCAAAGCAGUAAAAAGCAAACAAGUAGAACAUUAGGCCCAAAUAAAUCAUAAUAUAUACAAAAAUUAAUAAAGCUAAAUAAAGUUAAUGUACAAACUCGAAUUCUUGAAAAAUUCCCCAGUAGAGUCGCCAGAGCUGUCAUACCCCCUUUUUACUCCUCCAAGAGAUAAGUGUGCAAAAUGUAACGUGUUAUGGAUUGUGGGUUAAAGAGUUUUUCCAUUUGAAGUGACAAAUUUGAAAUAGGGAUUAUUUUAUUUACAGAGUCGGCACUUGGAAUUGAUUUUUGUCAGUGUUCCAAGUCACCUUUUAUUUGAAUCCCUAUUUAAAGGAAGGUUUGACUCUAUUAUUAUUGGUUUGCAAAAACAAGUCCGGGUAAGAAAUUCUGUUGACCGGGGAGAAGGUGAAAGGCAUUCCCCGAGUCCUGUGGUUCUAGCACGGCCGCUUUAUUGACGACAUUUGGCUUGAAUUAAUUUUGGAGAAAGUGUGAUUUAUAUUAUUUUCAUGUUUUACCUAUCCGCCUUUAUCUCUUGAUUAUUAGAAAAUUUAAAGAAUAUUUUUUAAUUAGAAGAUGUCACAACCACAUUACGCAAGCGAAUGCGUGAUCGACGAAAUUUAUUAUUUAGUCAUAACGGCGCUACGCAAGCGAAUCCGCUGUCAUGACAAACGAUUGUUAGCACGUUAUUUACCUCUGGAAAAUUACUACAUUCGAAGAAAUUAGUUUUGAAAAUUAUUUUUUAAAAAAAAAAUCAACUAUCGCGCUACGCAAGCGAAUCCGCGAUCUUAACAAAAAGAUUUACUAAAUUAAGAAUUAACUAAAAUUAAUGGGCAUGGUAUGAUAUUAUUUUAUUGAAUGUUAAAACAUCACGCUACAUAAGUGAUUCCGUGAGUUAAAGCGCGCCUACUAAUUGCCUAGCGUUUAAAUUAAUUAAAAGGAAACGAGUUAACUAAAAAUAGUAGAAAAAUCUGAUAUUAUUAUUAUUAUUUUAGCUUUAUAGUUGGAAAAAAUUAUGCAAAUAAAAGUUGGACCAACUUAAUCUAUUUUAAAAGAAAUGAGCCAACUUAAUGGGCCAGCUUGUAAAGAGCGCUUGGGCUGCUGCAAUUUAUUAUUAAAAUGGGCCAAAAAAGGAAUUUUAAUUGGUCCAAUGCUAUAUAGAAGAAAGAAAAUUGACACCUGAUGACAAUACAUAAGGGGAAUUGGCAAACUUUUAGCCUUAUAUUAGAUUUUGGCAAAAGUAGCCCCAAAUAAUUAGCAUUUUAUAGCCAAAUCCUAAAAACUACCUUAUUUUAUUAUUUAUUCUGCUAACCGUUUGCUGCUCUCCCUCUUAUUGUUCGCUGGUCCCCCUCCCCCUUCUUGUUCGCUGCCUCCCUCCCUCCCUAUUUCAAAUGAGAUUAAAAUGGUGGAUUAACUCUACCAUUGGUUUACUCAGUAUUACCCAUCAAGUACAGAGGAGCGAAGCUUUAAUAUAGAGCGACAAAUUAAUAUGUGCAUACAAUUCUUCGAGGUCCAAACAUAUAUAUAUAUAUAUAUAUACAUAUAUAUAUAUAUAUAUAUAUAUUCAUAAGAAAUUAUAUAUUAUACAUUGGUAUACACGGAAAGGAAAGUAANNNNNNNNNNNNNNNNNNNNNNNNNNNNNNNNNNNNNNNNNNNNNNNNNNNNNNNNNNNNNNNNNNNNNNNNNNNNNNNNNNNNNNNNNNNNNNNNNNNNNNNNNNNNNNNNNNNNNNNNNNNNNNNNNNNNNNNNNNNNNNNNNNNNNNNNNNNNNNNNNNNNNNNNNNNNNNNNNNNNNNNNNNNNNNNNNNNNNNNNNNNNNNNNNNNNNNNNNNNNNNNNNNNNNNNNNNNNNNNNNNNNNNNNNNNNNNNNNNNNNNNNNNNNNNNNNNNNNNNNNNNNNNNNNNNNNNNNNNNNNNNNNNNNNNNNNNNNNNNNNNNNNNNNNNNNNNNNNNNNNNNNNNNNNNNNNNNNNNNNNNNNNNNNNNNNNNNNNNNNNNNNNNNNNNNNNNNNNNNNNNNNNNNNNNNNNNNNNNNNNNNNNNNNNNAAAAAAAUAAAAUUUAUUUGUGUUAUACACUUGGAUAUACACUAUGAUAUACAAACUAUAUUUAUAAUUUUUAUUACUUGUGAGAAAUAAUUUAAAAACCUAGAAAAAAGAUUGUAGAGAUUUGGGAAAUAAUCUUGAAAGAUUUUCGAAUUCUAACAAAAAGAAAUAAAAGCCUAUUUUUAGGGUAAUGGUUGGACCAUUAGAAGAGAGAGAAGAUCAUUAAAUGUUAAAUUUAGGUUACGUGUGCCAAAUGCUAAAACAUAGGCUAUUUUCUGCCAAUUAUUGGACUAAAUUGUUAUGCAAUGCCAAAUCCUCUAGAAGAAAAGGGGUAAUUUUGUUGUUUAAAGGUAAAUGGGUCAGCUUUUAUUUUUUGGUUAAAAAGGCCAAAAGUUGAUACAAUCUUGAUUCUUUACUUAGUUUGCAUUUAUGACCAUUAGCUACAUAGUCACAAUUGUAUAAACGCAUACUUUACAAAAAUAGCCACUUUUGCAAAUCUGGCAAAAUGGCCAGAUUCAAAAAAAAAAUUAUCACAGCAUUCCUAGAAGCAUAUGUUGGCAGUGAAAUUUCAGCAACUAAAACGAACUCAAGCUAUGUGUUAUACACCCUCAUUCAUGGCAUACUUAGCAUUGUUACUCGAAUACAAUAGCUUGGAAAUAGGCUUAAAAAUCCAUAAACUACUUACAUAUCACAUUCAAAAACUUGCGACUCAAUAUUCAAGUAUUAUGAAGGACUAUAUUCACAUAUCACAUGCUUGAUACAUAACAAUAACAUACAAGCUCUUUUGUUGUCAAAUUAUUCAUCACAUCAAACACAUUUAAAUGGUGCAGCAUGUUCAAGUAGUUCCAAUUGCUGAAAAUACAUACAUUACGAGUCCAGCAAAAGAAUUACCUGGAUAGCAAAAGAAUAAAAAGUAGUAUAGCAAUUAAAGCAGCAUAAAAACAACAGCACAACAGCCACAAAACCAACAGUAAAUCCGUGUUAAAACAACCUAAAAACUCAUAGAAGAAACCCAGAAACGAACUCUAAAGAGGAUUUAUACUUUUCUAAAAAGUUUGCACUUUAAGAUUCACUCUUAAGACUUACAAUUUCAGCUUACUAAAGGAUGUUUCAGCUGCUGAAUUUUUCUUUUUGUUUUUGUAUGUUCAAAGCAAAAAUAAAAAUGCUCUCCCGAAAUGUGAUGGAGUCCCCCCCCCUAUAUAUCAAAACAACCAGCUAUUUCAAAAAAUUAAAAAUAAAUCUUUUUGACAGAUUUUUCUACAAAAUCUGCUCUUAAAUUCAAAAGACCAGACUUUCUGGUUCAAAUCAUAUCAAGUAUUUCAAACAAAAUCUGCUUUCCACUAUUCAAAGACAGACUUUUAUUCAAACACUGUCCAAAGGUCUACAUUUUCUUACCAAACAAUUUGACUUUUAAGUGUUGUACUCAAAGAGUCUUGAAGCAAUAAAUAAACAACCAAAGAAGUACCAUAUACUCUUAAGUAUUUUUCACUACCUCACUUUUAUCAACACAAAACUAUUUUACUACUUCAACAAGUGCAAAAACAGAAAAUUUAACAUUUCAAACUUCAAAAACUAAUGCUAAAAUAAUUAAUAAUAGACAAAAAUAAAAUCUGAAAAAAUAAAAUAAAAAUAAAAAAACAGCCACGAAAAAGAAUAGGAUUUUUACCAUUUUAUAAUUCAAGUGACCAAAAAAAUGGUGGUAUGCCCAAAGAGGGUGUUCGGGGAGGUCGCCGAAAUUUGGCCGGAUUUUGGUCGCCGGUUUUUUAGGGUGAAAUUUGCAUCAAUAGCUAGGUCUUGAGGAGCUAUAUCCAUUGAUGUAGGUAUUGUGGGGCGGUAGUGGUUGGAGCUUCAAGAAUUUGGGCAAAAAAGUGACGGGAAAGUUUCCUAGAUCUAAGAUUCAAGGAGUUUGAGGGAUUUUUGAAGGAUUUGGUUUGGAGAUAUGGAAAGAGAAAGUUGUGGACAUUACAUGGCGUAAAUUUGGAGGUGUUUGGAGGUGGUCCGCUGGCGGCGGCGAUUUCCGGCCGGCAGCGGUGGGCGGAGCUGGGGCGGCGUAGAAAGAGUGAAGAGAGAAGAAGGAGAAAAGAAUUAUGGGUGAAAAUGGGGACAAUUUUCAGAUUUUUGAGGCUUUAAAUACCUAAGCCAAUAG